rnacentral:rRNA from 1 species
UACGGGGGGGGUAAGCGUUGUUCGGAAUUACUGGGCGUAAAGGGCUCGUAGGCGGCCAACUAAGUCAUACGUGAAAUCCCUCAGCUUAACUGGGGAACUGCGUGUGAUACUGGAUGGCUUGGAUUUGGGAGAGGGAUGCGGAAUUCCAGGUGUAGCGGUGAAAUGCGUAGAUAUCUGGAGGAACACCGGUGGCGAAGGCGGCGUUCUGGACUGCAACUGACACUGAGAAACGAAAGCCAGGGUAGCAAACGGG